rnacentral:snRNA from 1 species
GCACUAGCUUUGACAACACAUACACUAAAAUUAGAAUGAUACAGAGAUGACUAGCAUACACCUGCACCAAGGAUGACAGGAAGCUUGUGAAGCGUUCCAUAUUUAU